rnacentral:rRNA from 1 species
UACGGAGGGUGCAAGCGUUAAUCGGAAUUACUGGGCGUAAAGCGCACGCAGGCGGUCUGUCAAGUCGGAUGUGAAAUCCCCGGGCUCAACCUGGGCACUGCAUUCGAAACUGGCAGGCUAGAGUCUUGUAGAGGGGGGUAGAACUCCAGGUGUAGCGGUGAAAUGCGUAGAGAUCUGGAGGAAUACCGGUGGCGAAGGCGGCCCCCUGGACAAAGACUGACGCUCAGGUGCGAAAGCGUGGGGAGCAAACAGGAUUAGAUACCCUGGUAGUCCACGCCGUAAACGAUGUCGAGUUGGAGGUUGUGCCCUUGAGGCGUGGCUUCCGGAGCUAACGCGUUAAAUCGACCGCCUGGGGAGUACGGCCGCAAGGUUAAA